GAUGAACGCUAGCUACAGGCUUAACACAUGCAAGUCGCGGGGCAGCAUGGGGGUUGCUUGCAAUCCCCGAUGGCGACCGGCGCACGGGUGAGUAACGCGUAUCCAACCUGCCCUUCACCACGGGAUAACCCGGCGAAAGUCGGACUAAUACCGUAUGUUGUCCAUUGACGGCAUCCAAUUUGGACGAAAGGUUUGGCGGUGAAGGAUGGGGAUGCGUCCGAUUAGCUGGACGGCGGGGUGACGGCCCACCGUGGCGACAAUCGGUAGGGGUUCUGAGAGGAAGGUCCCCCACACUGGAACUGAGACACGGUCCAGAAGCCUACGGGAGGCAGCAGUGAGGAAUAUUGGUCAAUGGGCGUAAGCCUGAACCAGCCAAGUAGCGUGCAGGAUGACGGCCCUAUGGGUUGUAAACUGCUUUUAUGCGGGGAUAAAGUGGCCCACGUGUGGGUUUUUGCAGGUACCGCAUGAAUAAGGACCGGCUAAUUCCGUG
rnacentral:rRNA from 1 species